CUGAACAGAAAAACAGCAGGUGCCUUUUGCCGAUGCACUGCACGGCGGAAAGGGUAAAAGGGAAGCGGGUGCAGAUCCCGCACGAUCUCGUCACUGUGAUAAGGGAGUCCGCAUCAGGGUGCUUUGCACCAGCCACUGGAGCUUUUGCUCUGGGAAGGAGAUGACGGGCGGCGAUCUUUCAGUCAGGAAACCUGCCUGCUGUUGGUACGGGGG
rnacentral:ncRNA from 2 species